AUGAUUUACUUAGGGGCACAACUGGAGCUGUUCUCGGAUGAUAAUGGAAGAUUCAUUGUUGGUGGAAACUGGAGGAUUGAGUGGUGUGCUGAUGUAUUAACAACAGAAGUUUUGGCUCUUAGAUUCGGCCUAUUCCUUGCACAAAAGGCGGGGUGCAAUUGUCUUGUCGUUAAUUCUGACAAUACGGAGGUGAUUGAAAUAAUGGAAAAUGGAGGACAUUCGGUGGGAGCGGCGGCGGCAGUGUUCGAUGAUUGCUAUUUAAUAGCUUGUGAUUUUCCGCUUGUUAGAUUUGAACAUUGUAAUAGGGAAACAAAUAAGGUGGCUCAUGAAAUUGCUAGGCUAGCGAAAUUUUCAGUUACUACUGACUGGUUUGAGGAGCCUUUGAGGGACAUUGUACAUUUACUUAUUGACGAUGUAACAAUUAUUUCUAAUAAAUAA
rnacentral:rRNA from 1 species